AAAGGUUCCUCCGGAGAGAUCCCCUUAGAUGCGGGACGCCGAAGGCGCAACUCGCCCGUAAACGCUCAGGCAGAAGGACGGAAGGAACCGG
rnacentral:ncRNA from 2 species